AGUGCAGCCUGAGUGCUGUGAGGAAGAUUAUGAGUAAGAUAGAAAGCACACAUGAAUUUGAGCUUUGUUGUGUGGCAAAAUGAUAAAAGAUGGAACUCUUUGUCAAAGCGCUUUUUGUGUGUGUAUGUGUGGCAGCGGUCUGGUGGAGGCUGGAAAGCAGGUGGGCGAGAGGAGUUGAAAUGACACCUGGUAACAGGCUGACAGCCCCAAGUAGCCAGUCAGCUAUGCUAAUACAGCAAUGGCAUCAACCUAAACACUCCAAGAACCAGCACGUUUCUCACUGGACUAGCACCCCUUGGGGCUCUACUCCAUCAGCAAUAGACCCUCCU